UACGUAGGGGGCUAGCGUUGUCCGGAUUUAUUGGGCGUAAAGAGCGUGUAGGCGGCCAGGUAGGUCUGGUGUGAAAACUCGAGGCUUAACCUCGAGAUGUCAUCGGAAACCAUUUGGCUAGAGUCCGGAAGAGGAGAGUGGAAUUCCUGGUGUAGCGGUGAAAUGCGCAGAUAUCAGGAAGAACACCGAUGGCGAAGGCAGCUCGCUGGGACGGUACUGACGCUGAGGCGCGAAAGCGUGGGGAGCGAACAGG
rnacentral:rRNA from 1 species